CUUAUAUUUAUUAAGAGUGACGGGCGAUAUGUGCAUAAUAAAUUUCUUUUUCAAUUUUAAUUUCUUUUUUUCAAUUUUAAUUUUAAGUCCUAUUUUUUAAAUAUUUCUUAUUAUUUUCCAUUUUGUUAUAAUUGUAUCCCAUUAUUACUUUUUAAUUGUCUUUGUAUUGAUUUGUUUUUUGAUUUUUUUAAUUUGUUAAAAUUAAAAGGUUUUUAUUUUUUAAAACAAUAAUAUAAAAGAUUAAAUAAUAAGUCAAUUUUAUCGUGGGUUAUCGAUUACAACACAGGAUCCCCUAAUUUGAUUUAUUACCGCCAUUUCAAUUAGAUUUUUCUUUUUUUAGAUACUUUCUGUUUUUUCUAUUUAAAA
rnacentral:rRNA from 1 species